rnacentral:rRNA from 1 species
GACGAACGCUGGCGGCGUGCUUAACACAUGCAAGUCGAACGAAGAGCGAUGGAAGUUUGCUUCUAUCAAUCUUAGUGGCGAACGGGUGAGUAACGCGUAAUCAACCUGCCCUUCAGAGGGGGACAACAGUUGGAAACGACUGCUAAUACCGCAUACGAUCUAAUCUCGGCAUCGAGGAUAGAUGAAAGGUGGCCUCUACAUGUAAGCUAUCACUGAAGGAGGGGAUUGCGUCUGAUUAGCUAGUUGGAGGGGUAACGGCCCACCAAGGCGAUGAUCAGUAGCCGGUCUGAGAGGAUGAACGGCCACAUUGGGACUGAGACACGGCCCAGACUCCUACGGGAGGCAGCAGUGGGGAAUCUUCCGCAAUGGACGAAAGUCUGACGGAGCAACGCCGCGUGAGUGAUGACGGCCUUCGGGUUGUAAAGCUCUGUUAAUCGGGACGAAAGGCCUUCUUGCGAAUAGUGAGAAGGAUUGACGGUACCGGAAUAGAAAGCCACGGCUAACUACCUG